rnacentral:rRNA from 1 species
AGAGUUUGAUCCUGGCUCAGAACGAACGCUGGCGGCAUGCCUAACACAUGCAAGUCGAACGCCAUCCUCUGGAUGGAGUGGCGCACGGGUGAGUAACGCGUGGGAACCUGCCUUUUUCUGCGGGACAACGAUUGGAAACGAUCGCUAAUACCGCAUACGCCCUACGGGGGAAAGGUCCGCCGGAGAGAGAGGGGCCCGCGUUUGAUUAGCUAGUUGGUGAGGUAAUGGCUCACCAAGGCUACGAUCAAUACCUGGUCUGAGAGGAUGAUCAGCCACACUGGGACUGAGACACGGCCCAGACUCCUACGGGAGGCAGCAGUGGGGAAUAUUGGACAAUGGGGGCAACCCUGAUCCAGCAAUGCCGCGUGUGUGAUGAAGGCCUUAGGGUUGUAAAGCACUUUCACUGGCAAAGAUGAUGACGGUAACCAGAAAAUAACCCCCGGCUAACUU